AGUGGGAUAGCUGAGUCAAAUAGUGGUUCCAGUCCAGCUUUUCUGAGGAAUCGUCAUAUUGCUUUCCAUAAUGGUUGCACCAAUUUGCAGUCCCACCAGCAAU
rnacentral:pre_miRNA from 1 species